GAGGGUAUAGCUCAAUGGUAGAGUGCCUGCUUAGCAUGCAUGAGGUCCUAGGUUCAAUCCCCAGUACCUCCA
rnacentral:tRNA from 1 species